rnacentral:rRNA from 1 species
GAUGAACGCUGGCGGCGUGCCUAAUACAUGUAAGUCGAGCGAACGGACGAGAAGCUUGCUUCUCUGAUGUUAGCGGCGGACGGGUGAGUAACACGUGGAUAACCUACCUAUAAGACUGGGAUAACUUCGGGAAACCGUAGCUAAUACCGGAUAAUAUUUUGAACCGCAUGGUUCAAAAGUGAAAGACGGUCUUGCUGUCACUUAUAGAUGGAUCCGCGCUGCAUUAGCUAGUUGGUAAGGUAACGGCUUACCAAGGCAACGAUGCAUAGCCGACCUGAGAGGGUGAUCGGCCACACUGGAACUGAGACACGGUCCAGACUCCUACGGGAGGCAGCAGUAGGGAAUCUUCCGCAAUGGGCGAAAGCCUGACGGAGCAACGCCGCGUGAGUGAUGAAGGUCUUCGGAUCGUAAAACUCUGUUAUUAGGGAAGAACAUAUGUGUAAGUAACUGUGCACAUCUUGACGGUACCUAAUCGGAAAGCCACGGCUAACUACGUG